UCCCUGAUGGCUCAGAUGGUAAAGAAUCUGCCUGCAAUGCAGGAGAUUCAGGUUCAAUUCCUGGUCCGGGAA
rnacentral:tRNA from 1 species